rnacentral:rRNA from 1 species
AUAUCAGUCAUGCAUAGCAUAUCAAUAAGCGGAGGAAAAGAAACUAACAAGGAUUCCCCUAGUAACGGCGAGUGAAGCGGGAAGAGCUCAAAUUUGAAAUCUUAAAGGGUUUUCCCUUUACGAAUUGUAGUUUAAAGAAGUGUUUUCUGUUAGAGUUUCGGUAAAAGUUCUUUGGAAUAGGACAUCAUAGAGGGUGAGAAUCCCGUAUUUGACCGUUAUUUCUAGCUUUGUGAUACACUUUCAAAGAGUCGGAUUGUUUGGGAAUGCAGUCCAAAAUGGGUGGUAAAUUUCAUCUAAAGCUAAAUAUUGGCGAGAGACCGAUAGCGAACAAGUACCGUGAGGGAAAGAUGAAAAGAGCUUUGAAAAGAGAGUUAAACAGUACGUGAAAUUGUCAAAAGGGAAGCGUUUGACACCAGUGUUGUUUAAUUGAAAAUCAAUUAACUAAUUUUUGAUUUUAAUAGUAUUGACUUUAUCAGCUUGCUAUUUUCUUUUCGGGAAUUAUUUAAUGCACUUUUCAGUUAACAAGUCAACAUCAAUUUCUUUUGUUGUAAAAAGGUAAGAGGAAGGUGGCUUAUGCUUCGGUAUAAGUGUUUAUAGCCUUUUACCUCUGCAAUCGGAGAGAUUGAGGUCUGCAGCGUAGAUCCUUCGGGGUUAGAUACAUUUGUGCUAAGUUAUAGUAUUUUAUAGACAACUUGUUGACUAUGAUUUAUCAUGUAGCUUACUCGCUUAUGCUAUUUUACCUACGCUUAGGAUGUUGAGUAGCGACAUACGCAC